rnacentral:siRNA from 1 species
ACGGUUGAGGCCAUGAACUCGGU